AUUAGAUUAAAAACCAAUGCCCUUCGGGGCUCACUGGUGAUUCAUGAUAACUUCUCGAAUCGCAUGGCCUUGUGCCGGCGAUGGUUCAUUCAAAUUUCUUCCCUAUCAACUUUCGAUGUUUGGGUAUUGGCCAAACAUGGUUGCAACGGGUAACGGAGGGUUAGGGCUCGACCCCGGAGAAGGAGCCUGAGAAACGGCUACUAUAUCCAAGGAAGGCAGCAGGCGCGCAAAUUACCCAAUCCCGACACGGGGAGGUAGUGACAAUAAAUACUGAUACAGGGCUCUUUUGGGUCUUGUAAUUGGAAUGAGUACAAUUUAAAUCCCUUAACGAGGAACAAUUGGAGGGCAAGUCUGGUGCCAGCAGCCGCGGUAAUUCCAGCUCCAAUAGCGUAUAUUAAAGUUGUUGUGGUUAAAAAGCUCGUAGUUGAACCUUGGGCCUGGCUGGCCGGUCCGCCUCACCGCGUGUACUGGUCCGGCCGGGCCUUUCCCUCUGUGGAACCCAUGCCCUUCACUGGG
rnacentral:rRNA from 1 species